UUACCACACCCCACAUUAUACCCCCCUCUCACUCCCCCCUUGAUCAUGACUGGCAGAUGACCCCUAUUGAUUUUCAGGUCACUAGGUCAAAGGUCAAGGUCACAGUGACUCGAAAUAGUACAAUGGUUUCCGGAUGAUAACUUACAUUAGGUCAAAGGUCAAGGUCACAGUGACAAAAAACGUAUUCACACAAUGGCUGCCACUACAACUGACAGCCCAUAUGGGGGGCAUGCAUGUUUUACAAACAUCCCUUGUUGAAGUAGGUUUCUAUCUUUUAUCCUAUAUAUUCUAACGUGCAAUCUUUGUUAUUAUGUUAGAGACUAAAUUAAACCUUAUGUAGUAUAUAUUCAAAUACACUAAAAAUCAGUUAUAACAGGCCAAACACGCACACACACAUGGGUGUACAUUUAUAUUCUUUAUUUAUAAGAAAGGUUUUUUGAUUAAUUAAGAGGUAUGUUUACAAUAAAAUAUUGACUUUUAUUUGAAAAAAGUUACAUAUUUAUUCUAGCCAGAGAUAAACGGUUAAAUAAAAAGUUACCGGUACUUCAUAUUUUACUGUGAGGUUCAUUAUAACUUUUGCUGAGAGCAUUGUGUUUGUAUUUAUGUGCCAGAAAGGAGAACAGCAUACUGUGUUCUAUUGUUUGUUAUAUCCCCAGUAGCAAUUGUCUGUUUGUCUGUUAAGUUGUGUCUUUAUCGACAGAAUCAACUGAAGUUUAUUAAGUUUGUAUAAUCUGUAUAUAUUUAAAUAAUGUAUUAUGAACUACAAUGUGUAUUAUUUUGCAUAUAUAGUUCACCAUUGGAAAAUUGUUUUCAUGCACAGUGUUUAAAAUAUAAAAACUUUAUUAAAAUUUUGUCAGGACUUUACAGUUGGUUGCUAAUAGCAAAUUUUUUUCAUUGUAAAUAGCCAUUUUAUUCUUGCAAAUACAUUAACACAUUUCUAAUGAAGAUGUCAGUUUUUAUGUUUAUUACACAAUAAGUUGUAUUUGAUUUAUGAGGUGGGCCAAAUCACUUUCAAAAUCUAAAUAUGCUACUACAUAAGCCUGCAGUAGUGGGCAAGAGGUUAAAUAAUCUUGAGUUAUAUUAUCAAACUUUAACACGAAUUGUGUUUUGAAAAUCAAAUGUUGACAUUGAAACACUUGUUUUGUUUUGGUUCAGAAAAUUGUUCAAAGGUCAUCUUAAUAGUUGUUAUUCCAUAUCAUUAUAUCAUUUAUACUUUUAAGUUUUCAACAACAGUAUGUUCUUUUUAAGGAUAGUGUUGCUGCAAAUUUGUUUUACUCACAUUUUCUUAACAUUCCACCAUUUUCACGUAGCCUGAUUCAUGUUUGAUGUACACAGUUUGAUGCACUAGAUAUAAAUCAUACCACUUGUAUUUAUUUAUUAGUUUUUUACAUUUUGCACUUUCUUUACCAAAAAUUGUUUGAAGUUAAUCACAUUUGUCUGUAGAUGAGUAAAUCAUUGAUGUCAAGGAUUCAAUAUUAAAUGUUGCCCGAUUGGUCAUUGUCGGCUCGGGUACUACUUACAUGUACCCCGGGUACUCUUAAGUAUACUUACAUGUUCCCCGGGUACGGUAAAUAUUCUUAAACGUACCCGGUUGAUAUUAGACUGUACCCAAGUUGUCUUCCCGCCCAAAAUCCGAUGUCGUAAAACGCGCUACUGAUUACCGUUAAACGAUAUUUUUUAUCUUAAACAAAUCUCUUUAAAAAAACAACUGCAUCAACAUGCCUUUUAGGUAUGAGUUGCGAUAAUAUAGAGGCCAUUUAACAGAAAAUAGACAUAAAUGUGAACAUAAUUAAUUUUUAAAAAAUAGCCCACAACGACCGAUUUAGCGUCAAAAUUCCUGGGUAUGCUUUAGUAUAUUUACCAUACCCGGGGUGCAUGUAAGUAGUACACGAGCGGAGAAUGACCAAUCGAGCUUAAAUGUUGACAAAAAAAGAAUAAUUUUCUUUAAUGGAUCGGCCACAGAUUGAUUCUUCUCUAAUCAUAGAAUAAUAUUAGCUGAUAUAAAAAAUAACAAUGUACACAGUUUUAACAAAUUUUUUAUUAGGUUGUGGGUUCAUCUUUGUUCAUGUUUUCACAUGCUGUUAUUUCUUUGUAGAAUUAAAGUUUAUUCAUUUUCGUUGGUGAAAGGUCAAGGUCAAGGUCAUCCUUCAAGGUCAGAGAUCAAAUAUAUGUGGCCCAAAUCGCUUAUUUUAUGGAUACUUUUGCAAUAUUGAAGAUAGCAACUUGAUAUUUGGCAUGCAUGUGUAUCUCAUGGAGCUGCACAUUUUGAGUGGUGAAAGGUCAAGGUCAUCCUUCACAAGGUCAAGGUCAUCCUUCACAGGGUCAAGGUCAUAUAUAGGGGACAUUGUGUUUCUCAAACACAUCUUGUUAUAUUUUCCAUUUUCCUUCACUUGCAACAUGUAUUUGCUCAUGUAAUUAUAUGCCUUGACUGUUGGCAUUCUAGGUCUCUUCAUUGUUGUUUUUUUUACUGAAAAUAGACAUACUUAGUUUGUAAUGGAGUCAACUUAUAUGGAUGUUAAAAGGGACUUGUUGACAGAUUUAUACUAGGCUUAUAGUUGUGUUGCUUAUCAAUAUUAGCUAUUUCAAUUGAAGAUAAUGCUGUAAUUAAUUAUUAUUGAUAUAUUUUUUCAAUAUCUUUAGUGUCUAAUACUGCUGUUUUCCCCCUGUUUUUCUAAUCUGUGAUUGCUCGAUUAAUUCCUUUAAUGCCCAUGUGUACAAAAUGUUCUAUUGGAGAUAUUGGUAAAUAUUGUGUUCAUUAAAUAAGUAUAAGUGUAUUGUUUGUUACUGUUUUUUUCUUUUAAAUUUUGAUACAGUACUAUUUACUUCUCCAUCAACAGAAACUGUUGCCAAUUUUGCUAAUAUAGUAGGGUUAUACUUAUUGAUAACUGAAAUUGGAAAUGUUCAUGGAGACAUUGAAUAUCCAUACAUUCUUCAACAUUUUCUCAAAUUGAAUGAUUUGUUUAACACUUCGCCUACUGAAUGUAAUAAGUCAUGUAACUGACAUUUUAAUACAUUUCUACUUUUUUCCAUUUUUGUGUUUAUUAAGGUGACAUACAUCAACUGUUAAAAUAUUAAGUCAACCUUUUUGGUAAAAAUAUAUGUUUUUAUCAAAUUUUCGAAAUUGACAUAACAAGCGCAUGUCAUUUUCUGAAUGUAAAAAGUAGCGUAACUGACAUUUUGUAAAAUUUUCAGGAGGAGCAAAAAUAUGUUUUAUUUAAAUAAUAAACAUUUUUCUGUAUUCAAAUUUUCGGAUAAGUAUUAUAAUAACAGUUGAAAAACGAAACAAAACUGCAAAUUGAUAUGUCUUUUUUAAAACAAUAAAAAAUUAAGAAAGGAGCAGUUACCAUAAUUUCAACACUGAAAUAUUUUGAGCGCAAAAAAUAACAUAAGUGCUCUUACUGUAUUUUGCUUUAUAUGCUUUCCUGAACAAUUCACAAAAUGUCAGUUACCCUAGUUAUUACAUUCAGUAGACGACUUGUUCUUUCGUGUUACAAUAUAUUUACUGGACAAAGCUAUAUUUUGAGAAAAUAUGACAUAUACUGAAUAAUCUCUAUUAAUAAAAAAAUUCUUGUAGUAUGGCCAUUUUAAUCGAACUAAAGGUUCUAAUAAUAUUUCUACUUUUAAGCCUGUUUCUAAAAUUGAAGUUUCAAAAAACAUUACAUAUCUUUGUGUUUCUAUUUUUAAUUCUAGUCAAACCAUUGUGUCAUACGUUAUGGGUUCAAAUGAUUAUUUUAUGGUGUACAGUGCAUAUUGUAAAACGUCUCCAUUCUCUUAUAGUUCAUGUUGUUGAUACUUUAUUUGAUGUGUCAGAUAUAAGUCUUUUCUCUUGUACGUCUCUGAAAUGUUGUAUAUCACGUUGAUAACACUGUCAAUUUCAUGACGUUGAUAUUCCAGAUGGUUAUUGGAAAAAUAAAUGAUAAAAGUAGUUUUUCUAUAUAUAAAAAUAUUGUCUUCUUGUGCAAUCAGGAUUACAUAAGUAAUGAACGAUUUUAAAUAAUAAAGAUUUGCAAUAUGUGA